UCCAUGGGAUUUUCCAGGCAAGAGUACUGGAGUGGGGUGCCAUUGCCUUAUCUGGCCUAGGGCUGCAGAGAAGCUUCAGGCAGAAUCCCUGAAACCAGAGGGGCGCCUCAAAGGCUGCUGGGUUUUGGAAGCUCUGGGUCAGGCUUGAGGGUGAGCUUUUCAGAGAGAUACCCAGCAUGGGGGUGACGGUGGGGCUACCAGCCUGCGUAAGUUGAUCAGGUGGUCACCAUUCUCUUGAUGAGUUUCACCUGCUCCCCAGGAAGCAGCUCUCUUGGAAGAUGUAGGGCAUGCGGCAGGCAGAACCCAGGGCAAGGAGAUCCAAAAGGGCGUGGUUCACGUUCUUCACCCCGAGAAUGGCAGCUUCCAAAGCAUCCUGGUUUUAUCCCACUCAUCUUGAGAGAUUUCUGCACGUCCCAGAAGAGGGCAUGGUGAUUUUACAUUUUCAAGAGUCCCUUGGGACCACAGCAUCAUGGUGGAAAUAGAACCUGGAGAGAGGAGACAUGGAUUCUGAUCCCUGAGUGGAGAAGAUCCCUUGGAGAAGGAAAUGGCAACUCAACUCCAGCAGUCUUGCCUUGGAAAUCCCAUGGACAGAGGAGAUUGGUGGGCAAAAGUCCAUGGGGUCUCAAUGAGUCGGAAACACACACAGAUAUACCCAGUUUUAUUUUUCUUAAAUCUUAAAAAAUCUUGGAUUUCAGAGAUUUAAUUUAACUGAGCAAUUAAGCAGUAUAGCUGCAAAUGUUAAGACCUGUAAAGUCUUUUUAAGCUCCAGAUUACUUUUCAGGAUAACAAUAUCCAUUGGGUGACAUAAUGGAAUAUAAUUUUAUCCUGUGGAAAGAUGGAACAUUAUGCACAUUCUAUUUUUUUACUUUAUGGAAGGAGAUUGGCACGUUAAUUUUUAAUAAAACAUAGAUAUAAGACAA